rnacentral:rRNA from 1 species
UACGUAGGGCGCAAGCGUUGUCCGGAAUUAUUGGGCGUAAAGAGCUCGUAGGCGGUUUGUCGCGUCUGCUGUGAAAUCCUCAGGCUCAACCUGGGGCUUGCAGUGGGUACGGGCAGACUAGAGUGCGGUAGGGGUGACUGGAAUUCCUGGUGUAGCGGUGGAAUGCGCAGAUAUCAGGAGGAACACCGAUGGCGAAGGCAGGUCACUGGGCCGCAACUGACGCUGGAGGAGCGAAAGCAUGGGGGAGCGAACAGG